CGUGAGGAACCUGCCUCAAAGAGGGGGACAACAGUUGGAAACGACUGCUAAUACCGCAUAAGCCCACGGCUCGGCAUCGAGCAGAGGGAAAAGGAGCAAUCCGCUUUGAGAUGGCCUCGCGUCCGAUUAGCUAGUUGGUGAGGUAACGGCCCACCAAGGCGACGAUCGGUAGCCGGACUGAGAGGUUGAACGGCCACAUUGGGACUGAGACACGGCCCAGACUCCUACGGGAGGCAGCAGUGGGGAAUAUUGCACAAUGGGGGAAACCCUGAUGCAGCGACGCCGCGUGGAGGAAGAAGGUCUUCGGAUUGUAAACUCCUGUUGUUGGGGAAGAUAAUGACGGUACCCAACAAGGAAGUGACGGCUAACUACGUGCCA
rnacentral:rRNA from 1 species